rnacentral:rRNA from 1 species
AAUGGGGACUAGUAUCAACGGCAUCACGAGGGUCCUACUGUCUCCUCUCUCCAAUCAAUGAAACUGAUCUCUCCGUGAAGAAGCGGGGAUUUAACUAUAAGACGAGAAGACCCCAUGGAGCUUUAAACCCGACUACACCUCCACCUCUUAUACCCACAUAAUCAACGGAAUACUGUACAUCGGUUUUGGGUUGGGGUGACCACGGAGCACAAACUAACCUCCAUGAUGAAUAAGACUAACCCUUUAUCUAAGAGACACAUCUCUAAGAAUUAGCACACUAACAUAAAAUGAUCCGAUAUUCGAUCAACGAACCAAGUUACCCUGGGGAUAACAGCGCAAUCCACUUCAAGAGCCCCUAUCCACAAGUGGGUUUACGACCUCGAUGUUGGAUCAGGGUAUCCUAGUGGUGCAGCAGCUACUAAAGGUUCGUUUGUUCAACGAUUAA